UAAUUUCCCCCAGAAAAUCCCCUUUUUCCUGGUCCCGUUUUUCAAAUUCUGAGACUAGGUUACGAUGAUGUAUGCUACGGAGCACCAAAAUCAACCAUAGAUAAUGUCAUCCCCAUCGUUGUUGCUACUCCCGGCCUCCGGAAUCAAGAACCGCCAACACCUUCACCUUGCUCCCAUUUCCAUUGAAGGUUCUGCUACUUAUGUCUAUCGACAAGGGCUUAGGUUGUCUGAGGAAGAAGACGCUGACAGGCAGAAUUGUUAGGACGAGACUUGAAGGGACUACAACACAUUCGACAUCUUGUUCAUUUACAACUUCCAAUAAGGUUGAUUCAGGUAUUUUUCUUUAAACCAUCUUUAUUGACGAUUUUGUAAUGGGUAUUGAAUUGGUCUAUCUUUACAGAAAGUUAUGUAAUUAGUAACUGCAAACCUUGUAUUUUGGAAGGUUGGAUUGUUGGGUAUGGCCGUAUGGGUAGAUGACUACAAAUGCAUCUCUAUCGGAUUUCUAAGGUAACUAUUACAUCCAACCCUGAGGAAUUGAGAUAUGUAUUACAAUUUAAUGAAUGAUGCUUAGACUUUAGAUGAUAUAUACAUUUUGGAUAUAUGAACCAUUAUAAACUGAUAUUCAUCCAUGAUUUCAACUUGAAUAAGUACCAUCACCCUUUUGCUGCCAGUUUUACUGGUAUGGAUUAAUUAUUGAUCUUCCUUUAAUUUGUUCUUUUUCAUCCUUGAAAAGGUUUAGGUUCUGAGUACAUUGCGAUUUUUACAGGCUCUUGUGAAAGAACUGGGGUUGUUAAUUUGUGACAAAUACCCUUCCUGGUUUUGGAGAGAGUGAUCAGACACUAAAGCAACUGUGAAGUGUUUGACAUGGUAUCCAAGAGCUUGUUGAUCAUUUGAACAUGGGACCAAAGUUCUAUGUAGCUGCAUACUCUAUGGGUGGUAAAGCCAUCCGGUCUUGUCUUAAGUACAUCCUUUACAGUUUUCAUUAAAAUUUUGUAACUUUUAAAGGAUCAUAAUCACAUUAUUUUUGUAAAAC
rnacentral:lncRNA from 1 species